rnacentral:misc_RNA from 1 species
GAUGAAGAACGCAGCGAAAUGCGAUACUUGGUGUGAAUUGCAGAAUCCCGUGAACCAUCGAGUCUUUGAACGCAAGUUGCGCCCGAAGCCAUUAGGCCGAGGGCACGCCUGCCUGGGCGUCACACGUCGUUGCCCCCCCAUCUACUCCUUCGGGAUUGCGGGGGGCGGAUGAUGGCCUCCCGUGCGCCUCGUCGCGCGGUUGGCAUAAAUGCCAAGUCCUCGGCGACACACGCCACGACAAUCGGUGGUUGCGAAACCUCGGUUGCCCGUCGUGUGCGGUCGUCGCGCAUCGAGGGCUCGAAAAAAUUGCCGGGCUCCGGCUCGGCUUUCAACGCGACCCCAGGUCAGGCGGGGUUACCCGCUGAAUUUAAGCAUAUCAAUAAGCGGAGGAA